UACGAGGGAUCCUAGCGUUGCUCGGAAUUAUUGGGCGUAAAGCGGGUGUAGGUGGCUUGGUAAGUCGGGUGUGAAAGCCCAGGGCUCAACCCUGGAAGUGCAUUCGAUACUGCUUAGCUUGAGUGCGAGAGAGGUUAAUAGAAUACCUGGUGUAGUGGUGAAAUACGUAGAUAUCAGGUGGAACACCGGAGGCGAAGGCGGUUAACUGGCUCGACACUGACACUGAGACCCGAAAGUGCGGGGAUCAAACAGG
rnacentral:rRNA from 1 species